UGCCUUGCUUGCAAAGGGCUCAUCCCAGAAGAAUCCCGCUACAAAGCCGUGUCCUACAACGCCUCGGGCAGGAACAUCUCCUACAGGACAGGGCCCUACAAGGUUGGCUCGGGCUACGAAGCUGACCCAAAGACCAGGAAGGGUGCAGGAUAUGAAGAAGCUCCUCGAAAUGAGGAUGUGAGACGCUCGUACCCUGCGAAAUAUGAUUAUGUCUAGCAGACCUUCUGGCCUUGAGUUGUGCUAUCAGAUAUUUUUAACUUCACAAGCAAAAAGUGCAGCAAACCAAGCAGUCUGUAAAUGGGAUUGUGUUUUCUAGCAAGUUUUCUCUACUCUGAGGUUGCAUCUUUGUUGUGAACAUCAGUUUUACUCAACUGCCCGUUAGUAUUAACAGCACCGGGAGGUCUGUGACCAAAGUAAGACCCUGUGGUGCUCUCAGAGUGGAACAUUUUGCUCCUAUUUUCUGUAUAAACAGAUAUACAGGA